rnacentral:rRNA from 1 species
UACGAAGGGGGCGAGCGUUGUUCGGAUUUACUGGGCGUAAAGGGCGCGCAGGCGGCUAUCCAAGUCAGGCGUGAAAGCCCCGGGCUUAACCUGGGAGGUGCGUCUGGGACUGGGUGGCUAGAGUUCGGGAGAGGAGAGUGGAAUUCCCAGUGUAGAGGUGAAAUUCGUAGAUAUUGGGAAGAACACCGGUGGCGAAGGCGGCUCUCUGGACCGAGACUGACGCUGAGGAGCGAAAGCGUGGGGAGCAAACAGG